UUUGGGAAAGGAGCAUUUAUAGACAUACCUUCACAUAGUCACAUUUAAAAGAAAGGUCUUUAAAACAUUUUUAAAGAAUUUCAGGAAGGAAAGCAGAGUUUAAAAAAAACCACAGGUUACAGCUGCAGAAUAAAGCAGUGUCUAGAAGAUGCAGACUACCUUAAAAGGUGUUUGUCAUAAGCAGGAGAAUUGACUGGAAAGUUACAUGGAGCCUACCUGAUGUUGAUUCCUGGAGUUUCUCUCUCUUCCUCUUCUUUUUCUUACCCUGGAAGAAGAUGGGUAUAUGGUCAUGUUACAGACUGGACUAUGAACACAUGGAUGGAUAUGAUACUAAAGUACAAAAGGUAUGAACCAGUGUUUCAAGAGAACCAACAUUUUAUGAUAGACAAAGAUGACCUAAGUAGUUUGGAUGUACUGAUGUCAACAUACACAAAAAAAAUCAUCUGUGUGUGGGGAUCCCACAAUCAAGUUAUGCAAAACAAUUUCUUUUAAAAAUCAUGCAGAAGAAUUUAAAGUUUCAGUAACCUCUGGUCAAGCAGGGUCUGGAAGCAGACAAUCCUCCUUCUGACAUGGUGUCAGCAGAUCAGCAGCAGCCUAAUGCAAUAUCACAAUGCCUGCUCAGUCCCCUUACUUCAUGUCCUCAUGUUACCAUCUCACAUCAUGACAAGGAGAGAGGAAUCGAUAAUGCAAGAAAGCUUACUUCUCUCCAUCUGUUCACAUGGCUUGGAAAUCUCCUGCAUGUCUUCUAUUAUGUAUGUUGAAGUUUAUUAGGUUUGUAUCAAACAUGGUAAAAAUUACCCACAAUAGCUAAAACACGAUCAUUUAAGUUUUACAAAAGCUGUUAGACCUUCCUUGUCUAAAUGUUCAUUUACAAAUCAUGAAUUUCUUGAGGUUGCAAAAACAAAUACAUAGGGUCAUAAUUUAAGUAACUAUCACAUACAUGAAGAGCAUCAACAAAUUAAAAUGAAGCAUUUCUAAAAUUAUAAUGUAGUAUUAGAAAAACUCCAAUCUUUCUUACCAUUCUUCAUAUACCUAAUGUUUUAAGACCAUUUCAAUCCUUAUAAAAAGCACCUGGGAAGACUAACUAGCCUUUGGGCUGGUGGCUGGAUAAAGAAAUCUUACAGCAUCUGCCCUAGUUGUAGCCUCGUGCCUGGUAUACACAGUAGGUGAUCAGAAGAGCAUCGUGGAGUGAAUAAAAGAAAGAGUGAAAAGAAAAGAGGCAAUGCAGACACCAUGCACAUAUUUUA